AGGACGAACGCUGGCGGCGUACUUAACACAUGCAAGUCGAGCGGUGAUCCUCCUUCGGGAGGUGAUCAGCGGCGAACGGGUGAGUAACACGUGGGCAACCUGCCCCUCACACUGGGAUAACCUCGGGAAAACCGGGGCUAAUACCGGAUACGACCUCGAGCGGCAUCUCUUGAGGUGGAAAGCUCCGACGGUGAGGGAUGGGCCCGCGGCCUAUCAGCUUGUUGGUGGGGUAAUGGCCUACCAAGGCGACGACGGGUA
rnacentral:rRNA from 1 species